rnacentral:rRNA from 1 species
UUCGGGGACAAGGUGACAGGUGGUGCAUGGUUGUCGUCAGCUCGUGUCGUGAGAUGUUGGGUUAAGUCCCGCAACGAGCGCAACCCUUGUCGUUAGUUACUACCAUUAAGUUGAGGACUCUAGCGAGACUGCCUGGGUUAACCAGGAGGAAGGUGGGGAUGACGUCAAAUCAUCAUGCCCCUUAUGUGUAGGGCUACACACGUGCUACAAUGGCUGGUACAGAGAGAUGCAAUACCGCGAGGUGGAGCCAAACUUAAAAACCAGUCUCAGUUCGGAUUGUAGGCUGAAACUCGCCUACAUGAAGCUGGAGUUACUAGUAAUCGCGAAUCAGAAUGUCGCGGUGAAUACGUUCCCGGGUCUUGUACACACCGCCCGUCACACCAUGAGAGUUGGCAAUACCCGAAGUCCGUGAGCUAACCGCAAGGAGGCAGCGGCCGAAGGUAGGGUCAGCGAUUGGGGUGAAGUCGUAACA